rnacentral:misc_RNA from 1 species
UCUCCGUUGGUGAACCAGCGGAGGGAUCAUUACCGAGUUUACAACUCCCAAACCCAAUGUGAACGUUACCAAACUGUUGCCUCGGCGGGGUCACGCCCCGGGUGCGUCGCAGCCCCGGAACCAGGCGCCCGCCGGAGGAACCAACCAAACUCUUUCUGUAGUCCCCUCGCGGACGUUAUUUCUUACAGCUCUGAGCAAAAAUUCAAAAUGAAUCAAAACUUUCAACAACGGACCUCUUGGUUCUG